rnacentral:rRNA from 1 species
UACAGAGGUCUCAAGCGUUGUUCGGAAUCACUGGGCGUAAAGCGCACGUAGGCGGAUUGCUAAGUCAGGGGUGAAAUCCUGGAGCUCAACUCCAGAACUGCCCUUGAUACUGGCGGUCUCGAGUCCGGGAGAGGUGAGUGGAACUGCGAGUGCAGAGGUGAAAUUCGUAGAUAUUCGCAAGAACACCAGUGGCGAAGGCGGCUCACUGGCCCGGUACUGACGCUGAGGUGCGAAAGCGUGGGGAGCAAACAGG